rnacentral:tRNA from 1 species
AUUGAUUUGACAGAUAAUUGUAUUAGUUUUAGAUAUUAAUAAAGUGUAUUUUUACACAUUCAAUA